CCUACGGGAGGCAGCAGUGGGGAAUAUUGGGCAAUGGAGGAAACUCUGACCCAGCAACGCCGCGUGAAUGAUGAAGGCCUUCGGAUUGUAAAGUUCUUUUCUAAGGGAAGAAGAAAGUGACGGUACCUUAGGAAUAAGCCUCUGCUAACUACGUGCCAGCAGCCGCGGGAAGACGGAGGAGGCGAGCGUUAUCCGGAUUGACUGGGCGUAAAGGUUGCGUAGGUGGGUUGGCAAGUUAGAAGGGUAACUCCAAGGCUCAACCUUGGAACUGCUACUAAAACUGUUGGACUUGAGUGCAGGGGGGGCAGCCGGAAUGCGUGGUGUAGCGGUGGAAUGCAUAGAUAUUAGGCAGAACACCGAUUGCGAAGGCAGGUUGCUAAACUGUAACUGACACUGAGGCACGAAAGCGUGGGGAGCAAACAGGAUUAGAUACCCUUGUAGUC
rnacentral:rRNA from 1 species